rnacentral:rRNA from 1 species
UUUAUUUGAUGAUUUUCUUACAUGGAUAACCGUGGGAAACUAGGGCUAAUACAUGCAUAGGGCCUGAGAAGGUCGUAUUUAUUAGUUUCAAACCAAUGCAGCCAACUGCAUUGUGAGGAAUCAAGAUAACUGAUCGAAGCUCAAAUUUGAGCUAAAUCAUUCAAGCUUCUGACCUAUCAGCUUGUUGUUAGUGUAUUGGACUAACAAGGCAAUAACAGGUAACGGAGAAUUGGGGUUCGAUUCCGGAGAGUCAGCCUGAGAAACGGCUGACAUUUCUACGGAAGGCAGCAGGCGUGAAAAUUACCCAAUCACAAUUCGUGGAGGUAGUUAAUAGACAUAACAAUUCCGACCUUUUAGGUUCUGGAGAUGUAAUGAAGUCAAUUUAAAAAAUUGACCGAAAUCCAUU